GAUGAACGCUGGCGGCGUGCCUAAUACAUGCAAGUCGAACGCUGAAGGAAGGAUCUUGCUCUUUCCGGGUGAGUUGCGAACGGGUGAGUAACGCGUAGGUAACCUGCCUGGUAGCGGGGGGUACCUAUUGGAAACGAUAGCUAAUACCGCAUAACAGUAGGUGUUGCAUGAUUUCUACUUAAAAGGUGCAAUUGCACCACUACCAGAUGGAUCUGCGUUUUAUUAGCUAGUUGGUGAGGUAACAGCUCAACAAGGGGGCGAUACAUAGCCGGGCUGGUAGGGGGGUCGGCCCACCCGGGACUGGGACGCCGCCCAGAAUCCCACGGGAGGCAGCAGUAGGGGAACUUCGGAAAAGGGCGGAAGGCCGAACGAGCAACGCCGGGGGGGUGGAGAAGGGUUUCCGAUCGUAAAACUCUGUUGUGAGGGAAGGACGAGUGUGAGAGUGGAAAGUUCACACUGUGACGGUAGCUUAAGAGAAAGGGACGGCUAACUACGUG
rnacentral:rRNA from 1 species